UACGGAGGGUGCAAGCAUUAAUCGGAUUUAUUGGGCGUAAAGGGCGCGUAGGCGGCUUUACAAGUCAGAUGUGAAAUUCCAGGGCUCAACCCUGGAGCGGCAUUUGAAACUGUAAGGCUAGAGGAUAGGAGGAGAAAACGGAAUUCCACAAGUAGCGGUGAAAUGCGUAGAUAUGUGGAAGAACACCGGUGGCGAAGGCGGUUUUCUAUCUUAUUCCUGACGCUGAGGCGCGAAAGCAAGGGGAUCAAACAGG
rnacentral:rRNA from 1 species